AUUGAACGCUGGCGGCAGGCCUAACACAUGCAAGUCGAGCGGUAGAGAGGUGCUUGCACCUCUUGAGAGCGGCGGACGGGUGAGUAAUGCCUAGGAAUCUGCCUGGUAGUGGGGGAUAACGCUCGGAAACGGACGCUAAUACCGCAUACGUCCUACGGGAGAAAGCAGGGGAACUUCGGGCCUUGCGCUAUCAGAUGAGCCUAGGUCGGAUUAGCUAGUUGGUGGGGUAAUGGCUCACCAAGGCGACGAUCCGUAACUGGUCUGAGAGGAUGAUCAGUCACGCUGGAACUGAGACACGGUCCAGACUCCUACGGGAGGCAGCAGUGGGGAAUAUUGGACAAUGGGCGAAAGCCUGAUCCAGCCAUGCCGCGUGUGUGAAGAAGGUCUUCGGAUUGUAAAGCACUUUAAGUUGGGAGGAAGGGUCGUUACCUAAUACGUGACGAUUUUGACGUUACCGACAGAAUAAGCACCGGCUAACUCCGUGCCAGCAGCCGCCGUAACAC
rnacentral:rRNA from 1 species